rnacentral:rRNA from 1 species
GACGAACGCUGGCGGCGUGCUUAACACAUGCAAGUCGAACGGAAAGUCCCUGCUUUUGUGGGGUGAUCGAGUGGCGAACGGGUGAGUAAAACGUGAGUAACCUGCCCUUGACUUUGGGAUAACUUCAGGAAACUCGGGCUAAUACCGGAUAGGAGCUCCUGCUGCAUGGUGGGGGUUGGAAAGUUUCGGCGGUUGGGGAUGGACUCGCGGCUUAUCAGCUUGUUGGUGGGGUAGUGGCUUACCAAGGCUUUGACGGGUAGCCGGCCUGCGAGGGUGACCGGCCACAUUGGGACUGAGAUACGGCCCAGACUCCUACGGGAGGCAGCAGUGGGGGAUAGUGCACAAUGGGCGGAAGCCGGAUGCAGCAACGCCGCAUGCGGGAUGACGGCCUUCGGGUUGGAAACCGCUUUCGCCUGUGACGAAGCGUGAGUGACGGUAAUGGGUAAAGAAGCACCGGCUAACUACGUG